AGAUUGAACGCUGGCGGCAGGCCUAACACAUGCAAGUCGAGCGGCAGCACGGGUACUUGUACCUGGUGGCGAGCGGCGGACGGGUGAGUAAUGCCUAGGAAUCUGCCUGGUAGUGGGGGAUAACGCUCGGAAACGGACGCUAAUACCGCAUACGUCCUACGGGAGAAAGCAGGGGACCUUCGGGCCUUGCGCUAUCAGAUGAGCCUAGGUCGGAUUAGCUAGUUGGUGAGGUAAUGGCUCACCAAGGCGACGAUCCGUAACUGGUCUGAGAGGAUGAUCAGUCACACUGGAACUGAGACACGGUCCAGGACUCCUACGGGAGCAGCAG
rnacentral:rRNA from 1 species